CCGGAGGCUGGAUUGUUCACAGAUUUUCUCUUUGAAGAAUCCACUGCAGUUGCUUGCCUCAAUAGCUUUAGACCACCAUUUGUAGCUUUCUCUCUGCGGAAGACUUCAAGCCACACGCUAACCAACUGACUUGCUAUGGCACGUAUAUCACGGCUGGUAUGCACACAAACUUUUUCUUUUACAGUUUUCCCUAUGCCUGACAAACGCACUGCAAGUAAAUCAGUAGAAACAAGUACAAGAAGACGAACACAGUGACGCAAGAGUUGAGUUCCAUCCUUCCCCAUUGAAUCCAGAAUCCAUGAAUUAAGUGUGGCAAGCCCUUUUCUGUUUCCAGCGAAGGACUUCAAGGUCUCAACAGGAAGAUUCAAC
rnacentral:misc_RNA from 1 species